AGGAACAUAGAACAUGGUCUCAGCUAGCACGCCACAUUCGCCACCUGAGUCUUUAGUGUCAUAGAAGGAACCUGUGUUUGGCCAAUCACGCUCAUGAUUUCCACUGCCACACACGUCAAGAGAGAGAGAGACAGAGACAUUACUUGAACGUCGCUGGCGAAAAGACACCAACCCAAUCAUUCUCCGAUGGUUCCGAGUACUCCAAAUCCACCGCCCGCUUGUUUCUUUGAUAUGACAUCUGAUUGGGCUAUAUACCCGGGUUUUGAACAUCAUUCCGAACCCUCGUAUGGGCAAAAAACAGGUUGAUAGCAAUUCCAUCUACACAAGAUAACAACCGGCCGGUAUGUCCUUAACCCUCUAGCCUCCUUUAAAUUCAAAUACUGGUUGGUACCGGCAAAUUCCAACUGGUACUGUGGUACAUACAGCCGGUACAGUGAUAGUACCGGUCAAUACGGAUGAAUACUGGCCGGUGCAGUCAAACUUUGUAAUUUUCUUUCAAUAGAGGAUGUUUGUAAAGCCUAAUCACAACUAUUACUAUUUCUAAGUACAUAUCUUCAUGUUGGACA